rnacentral:rRNA from 1 species
GAUGAACGCUGGCGGCGUGCCUAAUACAUGCAAGUCGAGCGAACGGACGAGAAGCUUGCUUCUCUGAUGUUAGCGGCGGACGGGUGAGUAACACGUGGAUAACCUACCUAUAAGACUGGGAUAACUUCGGGAAACCGUAGCUAAUACCGGACAAUAUUUUGAACCGCAUGGUUCAAAAGUGAAAGACGGUCUUGCUGUCACUUAUAGAUGGAUCCGCGCUGCAUUAGAUAGUUGGUAAGGUAACGGCUUACCAAGGCAACGAUGCAUAGCCGACCUGAGAGGGUGAUCGGCCACACUGGAACUGAGCCACGGUCCAGACUCCUACGGGAGGCAGCAGUAGGGAAUCUUCCGCAAUGGGCGAAAGCCUGACGGAGCAACGCCGCGUGAGUGAUGAAGGUCUUCGGAUCGUAAAACUCUGUUAUUAGGGAAGAACAUAUGUGUAAGUAACUGUGCACAUCUUGACGGUACCUAAUCAGAAAGCCACGGCUAACUACGUG